CAGCAGCCACGGGAAUACGGAGGGAGCUAGCGUUGUUCGGAAUUACUGGGCGUAAAGCGCGCGUAGGCGGUUACUCAAGUCAGAGGUGAAAGCCCGGGGCUCAACCCCGGAACUGCCUUUGAAACUAGGUGACUAGAAUCUUGGAGAGGUCAGUGGAAUUCCGAGUGUAGAGGUGAAAUUCGUAGAUAUUCGGAAGAACACCAGUGGCGAAGGCGACUGACUGGACAAGUAUUGACGCUGAGGUGCGAAAGCGUGGGGAGCAAACAGGAUUAGAUACCCGCGUAGUCCCUGUCUCUUAUAC
rnacentral:rRNA from 1 species